AUGGGGUGCAGCAGGCGAGAAAACUUUGCAAUGUGCGAAAGCACGACAAGGUUAAUCCGAGUGGUUUCUGCUAAAGGAACCUUUUGUUAGUCAUAGAACCACUAAUGAAUAAGGGGUGGGCAAGUUCUGGUGUCAGCCGCCGCGGUAAAACCAGCACCUCAAGUGGUCAGGAUGAUUAUUGGGCCUAAAGCAUCCGUAGCCGGCUCUGUAAGUUUUCGGUUAAAUCUGUACGCUCAACGUACAGGCUGCCGGGAAUACUGCAGAGCUAGGGAGUGGGAGAGGUAGACGGUACUCGGUAGGAAGGGGUAAAAUCCUUUGAUCUAUUGAUGACCACCUGUGGCGAAGGCGGUCUACCAGAACACGUCCGACGGUGAGGGAUGAAAGCUGGGGGAGCAAACCGGAUUAGAUACCCGGGUAGUCCCAGCUGUAAACUAUGCAAACUCGGUGAUGCAUUGGCUUGUGGCCAAUGCAGUGCUGCAGGGAAGCCGUUAAGUUUGCCGCCUGGGAAGUACGUACGCAAGUAUGAAACUUAAAGGAAUUGGCGGGGGAGCAC
rnacentral:rRNA from 1 species